rnacentral:rRNA from 1 species
UGGGGAAUCUUCCGCAAUGGACGAAAGUCUGACGGAGCAACGCCGCGUGAGUGAAGACGGCCUUCGGGUUGUAAAGCUCUGUGAUCCGGGACGAAAGAGCCUGAGGUAAAUAGCCUAAGGAAGUGACGGUACCGGAAAAGCAAGCCACGGCUAACUACGUGCCAGCAGCCGCGGUAAUACGUAGGUGGCAAGCGUUGUCCGGAAUUAUUGGGCGUAAAGCGCGCGCAGGCGGCUUACUAAGUCCAUCUUAAAAGUGCGGGGCUUAACCCCGUGAUGGGAUGGAAACUGGAAAGCUGGAGUAUCGGAGAGGAAAGUGGAAUUCCUAGUGUAGCGGUGAAAUGCGUAGAGAUUAGGAAGAACACCGGUGGCGAAGGCGACUUUCUGGACGAAGACUGACGCUGAGGCGCGAAAGCGUGGGGAGCAAACAGG